UACAGAGACCUCAAGCGUUAUCCGGAUUUAUUGGGCGUAAAGCGUCCGCAGGUUUCUUUUAAGUCUCUUGUUAAAGCCCAGAGCUUAACUCUGGUUCAGCACGAGAUACUGAAAAGAUAGAGGACGGAAGAGGCAUACGGAAUUGCAGGUGUAGUCGUAAUAAGCGUUGAUAUCUGCAAGAACACCAAAAGCGAAGGCAGUAUGCUGGGUACGUUCCUGACACUCAUGGACGAAAGCGUGGGGAGCAACAGG
rnacentral:rRNA from 1 species